CAUUACCGAGUUAUACAACUCAUCAACCCUGUGAACAUACCUAAAACGUUGCUUCGGCGGGAACAGACGGCCCCGUAACACGGGCCGCCCCCGCCAGAGGACCCCCUAACUCUGUUUCUAUUAUGUUUCUUCUGAGUAAAACAAGCAAAUAAAUUAAAACUUUCAACAACGGAUCUCUUGGCUCUGGCAUCGAUGAAGAACGCAGCGAAAUGCGAUAAGUAAUGUGAAUUGCAGAAUUCAGUGAAUCAUCGAAUCUUUGAACGCACAUUGCGCCCGCCAGUAUUCUGGCGGGCAUGCCUGUUCGAGCGUCAUUACAACCCUCAGGCCCCCGGGCCUGGCGUUGGGGAUCGGCGAGGCGCCCCCUGCGGGCACACGCCGUCCCCCAAAUACAGUGGCGGUCCCGCCGCAGCUUCCAUUGCGUAGUAGCUAACACCUCGCAACUGGAGAGCGGCGCGGCCACGCCGUAAAACACCCAACUUCUGAAUGUUGACCUCGAAUCAGGUAGGAAUACCCGC
rnacentral:rRNA from 3 species